rnacentral:antisense_RNA from 1 species
CUUCACCGAACCCAGCCAGAGCGGCCGGUCGGCGGGGCGCUCCCGCCCGUAGGUCCGUUGCAGGGCGCGCACCUC